GGAUAUGAGGGUGAUCUGGCUAUGAUAUCUGUCACCAACUGAUUGCCAACGUUGAUGCAGCUCUUGUGGCUGGCCAGGCAGGCUGUCCCCCUCCACCCUCAGUUCCAUGUGCAUCCUUCCCAAAGCUGUGCUGGGCCAGAGGGGACAAUCUUCCUGGAGAGAGGACCACUGUUCUUUAGUCAAGGGUAUACAAGCAGCUGCACUCCCCUGCUAGAACCUCCAAACAAGCUCUAUUGGAUUUUCUGUGUCACCUGCAAAUAAUUACAGUUUUAUGUUCUUCUUUCCAAUUGUUGUUCUUU
ensembl:misc_RNA 7SK 7SK RNA